GCGAACGCUGGCGGCGUGGAUAAGGCAUGCAAGUCGAGCGAUCCCCGCAAGGGGAUAGCGGCAAACGGGUGAGUAACGCGUAGGUAACCUGCCCCGAAGAGUGGGACAACCUGACGAAAGACAGGCUAAUACCACAUGUGCUUGCGAGGCCUCCUGGCCUUGCAAGGAAAGGUGGCGAUCCGCAAGGAGCUACCACUUUGGGAGGGACCUGCGUCCCAUCAGCUAGUUGGUAGGGUAACGGCCUACCAAGGCUUAUGACGGGUAGCUAGCCUUAGAGGACGGUUAGCCACACUGGGACUGAGACACUGCCCAGACUCCUACGGGAGGCUGCAGUCGAGAAUCUUUGGCAAUGGGCGAAAGCCUGACCAUGCGACGCCGCGUGCGGGAUGAAGGCCUUCGGGUUGUAAACCGCUUUUACCAGGGAUGAUAAUGACGGUACCUGAUGAAUAAGUCACGGCUAACUACGU
rnacentral:rRNA from 1 species